GGGAAGUGAAGUAUGCGUUCAACUCCCCUGAUUGCUAAGAAGCUGACAAACAUAUAAGGUUAUGGUUGAACUUCUCAGCAAUUAACCAGCUUCUUAUAGCAAUCAGAGGACUUGGACUUGUACUGAUCUCUCAUUUCUUAUGGUGGCUUCUAGCCUUAGCAAUUGGAAUUGCUUAUCAGAGAGAGGAGGAAAUGAUUUUAACGUCAGAAAUCGCCAUUUCAGGAAAAUCUUGGAGCAGGGUUUUUCCCAAGGGCGAAGAAAUUUCUUUAAACAGAGGACGAGCAAAACGCAGCUUCAAAUAUGCUAUAAGCAAAAGCAAAAGAAAAAGCGUUGAAAGGAGCUCUUGAAUUAAAUCCCCUGGGAAUAUGUUUUCAAUGGAUGAUUCCCUUCCAAUAAUUAGCAAGAUUGAUCGUUUAAUUAGAAGGGGAAGGGGUGGGAAAGUCUUGAAGUUAUAUUGUCCUGAGCUUGAAGAUCAAAGGGAUACUUCAUGAACUUCAUUUGAUCAAUGGACGUUCUCUGCAAAUACCCAUUUUCAUAUAUUAUUUUCUUAACGUGGGGAUCAUCCUUGCGAUGCAUAAAUCAACCGCAUCAAACAAAAAAGAAGAUUGAUCUUUUUCAUGCUAAUGAUCGAGAACCAGUACAAAAAGCAAAAGGCACAAGCACUACUCUUAAGCAUUGGUGUUGGAUGUAUCAUGUUGUAUGAACAAAUUAU
rnacentral:misc_RNA from 1 species